AUUGAACGCUGGCGGCAGGCCUAACACAUGCAAGUCGAGCGGCAGCGGGAAAGUAGCUUGCUACUUUUGCCGGCGAGCGGCGGACGGGUGAGUAAUGCCUGGGAAAUUGCCCAGUCGAGGGGGAUAACAGUUGGAAACGACUGCUAAUACCGCAUACGCCCUACGGGGAAAGCAGGGGACCUUCGGGCCUUGCGCGAUUGGAUAUGCCCAGGUGGGAUUAGCUUGUUGGUGAGGUAAUGGCUCACCAAGGCGACGAUCCCUAGCUGGUCUGAGAGGAUGAUCAGCCACACUGGAACUGAGACACGGUCCAGACUCCUACGGGAGGCAGCAGUGGGGAAUAUUGCACAAUGGGGGAAACCCUGAUGCAGCCAUGCCGCGUGUGUGAAGAAGGCC
rnacentral:rRNA from 1 species